rnacentral:rRNA from 1 species
AGUGAACGCUGGCGGUAGGCCUAACACAUGCCAGUCGAACGGCAGCACAGUAAGAGCUUGCUCUUACGGGUGGCGAGUGGCGGACGGGUGAGGAAUACAUCGGAAUCUACUUUUUCGUGGGGGAUAACGUAGGGAAACUUACGCUAAUACCGCAUACGACCUACGGGUGAAAGCAGGGGAUCUCCGGACCUUGCGCGAUUGAAUGAGCCGAUGUCGGAUUAGCUAGUUGGCGGGGUAAAGGCCCACCAAGGCGACGAUCCGUAGCUGGUCUGAGAGGAUGAUCAGCCACACUGGAACUGAGACACGGUCCAGACUCCUACGGGAGGCAGCAGUGGGGAAUAUUGGACAAUGGGCGCAAGCCUGAUCCAGCCAUACCGCGUGGGUGAAGAAGGCCUUCGGGUUGUAAAGCCCUUUUGUUGGGAAAGAAAGGCAGCAGGUUAAUACCCCGCUGUUCUGACGGUACCCAAAGAAUAAGCACCGGCUAACUUCGUG